CCUACGGGAGGCAGCAGUGGGGGAUAUUGGACAAUGGGGGGAACCCUGAUCCAGCGACGCCGCGUGAGUGAAGAAGUAUUUCGGUAUGUAAAGCUCUGUCAGCAGGGAAGAAAGCAAUGACGGUACCUGACCAAGAAGCCCCGGCUAACUACGUGCCAGCAGCCGAGGUAAUCCGUAGGGGGCAAGCGUUAUCCGGAAUGACUGGGUGUAAAGGGAACGUAGACGGCUGUGCAAGUCUGGAGUGAAAGGCGGGGGCCCAAACCGCGGACUGCUCUGGAAACUGGAUGGCUGGAGUGCAGGAGAGGGGAGCGGAAGUCCUGGUGGAGCGGUGAAAUGCGUAGAGAUUAGGAAGAACACCAGUGGCGAAGGCGGCUUACGGGACUGUAACUGACGUUGAGGCUCGAAAGCGUGGGGAGCAAACAGGAUUAGAUACCCCUGUAGUC
rnacentral:rRNA from 1 species